UACGUAGGGACCAAGCGUUGUUCGGAUUUACUGGGCGUAAAGGGCGCGUAGGCGGCAAUUCAAGUCAUCUGUGAAAUCUCCGGGCUUAACUCGGAACGGUCAGAUGAUACUGCUUUGCUAGAGUACAGAAGGGGCAAUCGGAAUUCUUGGUGUAGCGGUGAAAUGCGUAGAUAUCAAGAGGAACACCUGAGGUGAAGACGGGUUGCUGGGCUGAUACUGACGCUGAGGCGCGAAAGCGUGGGGAGCGAACAGG
rnacentral:rRNA from 1 species